rnacentral:rRNA from 1 species
AAGCAGCCGCGGUAAUACGUAGGGUGCGAGCGUUAAUCGGAAUUACUGGGCGUAAAGCGUGCGCAGGCUGUUUUGUAAGUCAGAUGUGAAAUCCCCGAGCUCAACUUGGGAACUGCGUUUGAAACUACAAGACUAGAAUAGGUCAGAGGGGGGUAGAAUUCCACGCGUAGCAGUGAAAUGCGUAGAGAUGUGGAGGAAUAUCAAUGGCGAAGGCAGCCCCCUGGGAUCAUAUUGACGCUCAUGCACGAAAGCGUGGGGAGCAAACAGGAUUAGAUACCCUGGUAGUCCACGCCCUAAACGAUGUCUACUAGUUGUUGGUGGAGUAAAAUCCAUGAGUAACGCAGCUAACGCGUGAAGUAGACCGCCUGGGGAGUACGGUCGCAAGAUUAAAACUCAAAUGAAUUGACGGGGGCCCGCACAAGCGGUGGAUUAUGUGGAUUAAUUCGAUGCAACGCGAAAAACCUUACCUGGCCUUGACAUGUACGGAACUUUCCAGAGAUGGAUUGGUGCUCGAAAGAGAACCGUAACACAGGUGCUGCAUGACUGUCGUCAGCUCGUGUCGUGAGAUGUUGGGUUAAGUCCCGCAACGAGCGCAACCCUUGCCAAUAAUUGCCAUCAUUUAGUUGGGCACUUUAUUGGGACUGCCGAUGACAAAUCGGAGGAAGGUGGGGAUGACGUCAAGUCCUCAUGGCCCUUAUGGCCAGGGCUUCACACGUAAUACAAUGGUCGGUACAGAGGGUUGCCAAGCCGCAAGGUGGAGCCAAUCCCAGAAAGCCGAUCGUAGUCCGGAUUGAGGUCUGCAACUCGACCUCAUGAAGUCGGAAUCGCUAGUAAUCGCGGAUCAGCAUGUCGCGGUGAAUACGUUCCCGGGCCUUGUACACACCGCCCGUCACACCAUGGGAGUGGGUUUUACCAGAAGUAGGUAGUCUAACCUUCGGGAGGACGCUUACCACGGUAGUAUUCAUGACUGGGGUGAAGUCGUAACAAGGUAGCCGAAUCUCUGAAGAUCCGCGCGACUC